rnacentral:rRNA from 1 species
AUGCACGUCUUGUUGCAGCUUAGCCUUCUUGGCCUCAUACUGCUUGGGACACAGCAUGCCUCUGGGGCCGCGGGUCCUAGCUCAAACUGCCGAAGGCGGUGCGGCGAUGUCGAGAUACCGUACCCAUUUGGCAUCGAUCCCAAUAUCCCCAACUGCUCGCUCGCAGAAGUCUUCGACCUCAGCUGCAAGGUUAGAGAUGGCGCCCUCAAGCCCAAGCCGUUCAAGGCCAUCUUUGAGGUGCUGGACAUCUCCCUGACCCACAGCACCGCCAGGGUGCUCAACUACAUCGAGGCUUUCUGCUACAACAACUCCACCAGGAGCAUGGAGCAUCUCGGCUAUCACGAGAGCCAAAACGGAGGGCCUAGCUCCGUCUACCGGCUCUCCGACGUCGAGAACAGGUUCACGGUCAUCGGGUGCAACGCCCUGGGCAUCAUGUCCGACUUCGCCGGCACGGGCUACCAGGGGAUGGGCGUGGCCACGUGCCGCAACCUGUCGGACCUGGUGGACGGGUCCUGCGCCGGCAUGGGCUGCUCCCAGACCAUGAUACCCAAGAGGAUGUACUACUACGACACCAACUUCUCCCGCUCCGUCAACACGAGCCGGAUCUGGGAGUUCAACCGGUGCAGCUACGCGGUGCUCAUGGAGGCCACGGCGUUCAACUUCAUCACCUCGUACGUCGGCAACACCACCUUCAACGACACGCACCAUGGGCGGGUGCCCAUGGUGGUUGAUUGGGCUGUGAGGGACGCAAAGUCGUGUGACGACGCACGACGGAAUACGACCUACGCAUGCCUCAGCAGCAACAGCGUGUGCGUGGAUUCCGUCAAUGAUUACGGCUAUAUGUGCAACUGCUCGCAGGGAUACAAAGGCAAUGCCUAUCUCCCCGGUGGAUGCCAAGAUGUCGACGAAUGUAGUAACAACAACCCAUGUCCUUCGGGAGGCACUUGCCACAAUACAAUUGGAGGAUACCGAUGUUCUUGUCGAGUAGGAAGAAAAAUGGAAGACAAUACAUGCAGCCCUGAUAUCGGCUUAAUACUAGGAGUUACACUAGGAUUAUUUGGGGCAAUCAUUACCGCCAUGAUCACUAUAUUUUGGGGACAAAUAAUAAUCCAGAAGAGAAAAUUGGAAAAAGUUAAGAGGGAGUAUUUCCGCCAACAUGGAGGGCUGCUUUUGUUUGAUAGGAUGAAAUCUGAGAAAGGUCUUGCUUUCACUAUAUUUUCAGAAGCUGAGCUCAUACAUGCCACCAACAACUUUGACAGUACCAGAAUACUUGGAAAAGGAGGUCAUGGAACAGUCUAUAAAGGGAUAUUGAAGAACAACAUUACAGUUGCAAUUAAAAGAUGUGCAUUAGUUGAUGAAAGGCAAAAGAAGGAAUUUGGCCAAGAGUUGCUCAUUUUAUCCCAAAUAAAUCACAAGAACAUUGUGAAACUCUUAGGUUGUUGCCUUGAGGUGGAAGUUCCAAUUCUAGUAUAUGAGUUUGUUCUAAAUGGUACACUUUUUGAGUAUAUUCAUGGAAAGAACCAAUCAUCACAUAUCUCCUUCAGCAAUCUCUUAAGGAUUUCUCAUGAAGCAGCCGAAGGACUCAGCUUCCUACACUCUUAUGCAUCUCCCCUUAUUAUUCAUGGUGAUGUAAAAACUUCCAACAUUCUUCUUGAUGACAACCACAUGGCCAAGGUAUCGGACUUUGGAGCCUCGGUACUAGCCCCGUCUGAUGAAGAGCAAUUUCUCACAAUACUUCAAGGUACGUGUGGAUACCUUGAUCCUGAAUACCUGCAAACGUGUCAGUUGACAGCUAAAAGCGAUGUGUAUAGCUUUGGAGUUAUCCUUUUGGAGAUCCUCACAGGCCAAUUGCCACUAAAGCUUGAAGGGUCUGACACACAAAAGAUCUUAUCAUCGACUUUCCUAUCUGCCAUGAAGGAGAACAAUCUUGAUGCGGUGUUGGUCAAACACGUGAAAGAACAAGAGAGCAUGGAGUUGCUGAACGGACUUGCAGACCUAGCAAAGAAAUGCCUAGAUAUGUGUGGUGACAGCAGGCCCUCGAUGGAAGAGGUUGCGAAUGAGCUCGGCAGAUUGAGAAAGCUUCCAAUGUAUCCAUGGGUACGAGUGGGCGUGGAGACGGAUGGAGAGAGCCUUCUAGGUGGAGAUUCCACCGGUGUUCAGGAAGUAGAAUCUGACUAUUCUAUGGGAGAAAAUGAGAACCAACACAUAAAUCCAGGAAGUUCAUAUUAUGCUAGGUGA